rnacentral:rRNA from 1 species
GUGGGGAAUUUUGGACAAUGGGCGCAAGCCUGAUCCAGCAAUGCCGCGUGCAGGAAGAAGGCCUUCGGGUUGUAAACUGCUUUUGUACGGAACGAAACGGUCCUGGUUAAUACCUGGGGCUAAUGACGGUACCGUAAGAAUAAGCACCGGCUAACUACGUGCCAGCAGCCGCGGUAAUACGUAGGGUGCGAGCGUUAAUCGGAAUUACUGGGCGUAAAGUGUGCGCAGGCGGUGCUGUAAGACAGGCGUGAAAUCCCCGGGCUCAACCUGGGAAUUGCGCUUGUGACUGCAGUGCUGGAGUACGGCAGAGGGGGAUGGAAUUCCGCGUGUAGCAGUGAAAUGCGUAGAUAUGCGGAGGAACACCGAUGGCGAAGGCAGUCCCCUGGGCCUGUACUGACGCUCAUGCACGAAAGCGUGGGGAGCAAACAGGAUUAGAAACCCCGGUAGUCC